rnacentral:rRNA from 1 species
CCUACGGGUGGCUGCAGUGGGGAAUAUUGCACAAUGGGGGGAACCCUGAUGCAGCAAUGCCGCGUGAAGGAUGAAGGUUUUCGGAUUGUAAACUUCUUUUGUACGGGACGAAGAAAGUGACGGUACCGUAAGAAUAAGCCACGGCUAACUACGUGCCAGCAGCCGCGGUAAUACGUAGGUGGAAAGCGUUAUCCGGAUUUACUGGGUGUAAAGGGCGAGUAGGCGGGAUUGCAAGUCAGAUGUGAAAACUAGGGGCUCAACCGAUAGAGUGCAUUUGAAACUGGCAAACUGGAGUGUGUGAGAGGAUAGUGGAAUUCCAGGUGUAGGAGUGAAAUCCGUAGAUAUCUGGAGGAACAUCAGUGGCGAAGGCGACUAUCUGGCACAUAACUGACGCUGAGGAGCGAAAGCGUGGGUAGCAAACAGGAUUAGAUACCCCAUAGUC